rnacentral:rRNA from 1 species
GUCGAGCGGCAGCGGGAAGUAGCUUGCUACUUUGCCGGCGAGCGGCGGACGGGUGAGUAAUGUCUGGGGAUCUGCCUGAUGGUGGGGGAUAACUACUGGAAACGGUGGCUAAUACCGCAUAACGUCGCAAGACCAAAGUGGGGGACCUUCGGGCCUCACGCCAUCGGAUGAACCCAGAUGGGAUUAGCUAGUAGGUGGGGUAAUGGCUCACCUAGGCGACGAUCCCUAGCUGGUCUGAGAGGAUGACCAGCCACACUGGAACUGAGACACGGUCCAGACUCCUACGGGAGGCAGCAGUGGGGAAUAUUGCACAAUGGGCGCAAGCCUGAUGCAGCCAUGCCGCGUGUGUGAAGAAGGCCUUCGGGUUGUAAAGCACUUUCAGCGAGGAGGAAGGUGUUCGUGUUAAUAGCACGGACAAUUGACGUUACUCGCAGAAGAAGCACCGGCUAACUCCGUGCCAGCAGCCGCGGUAAUACGGAGGGUGCGAGCGUUAAUCGGAAUUACUGGGCGUAAAGCGUACGCAGGCGGUUUGUUAAGUCAGAUGUGAAAUCCCCGAGCUUAACUCGGGAACUGCAUUUGAAACUGGCAAGCUAGAGUCUCGUAGAGGGGGGUAGAAUUCCAGGUGUAGCGGUGAAAUGCGUAGAGAUCUGGAGGAAUACCGGUGGCGAAGGCGGCCCCCUGGACGAAGACUGACGCUCAGGUACGAAAGCGUGGGGAGCAAACAGGAUUAGAUACCCUGGUAGUCCACGCUGUAAACGAUGU